rnacentral:lncRNA from 1 species
CUAGGUCGUUUGAGGGAGCAAGAACCUCCAAUUUUUUAUGUAAAUCAAAAGUGUAUGCGUUGUAUCUUUAUUUCAAUCCAGAAUAAAUAGCAGAAAAAUUCAACAAAUUCCCACAGAAAUAGGGAUAAAGACCAACGUUCACAAGUUGGUUUUAACUACUCAACAACUAUGCGAGACUUAUUCAAGGAACUAAACAUAAAAAUGGAAAAUUUUUAACUUCAGGACAUAAAACUCCUAUCAGCUCCCUCCCCCUUAAAUUUCAGCCUUGUCCUCAAGGCUAAUAUCUGGGAACUGAUUUUUAAGGAUUUCGCGAUCCUCCAAAGUUGCUUCAGCUGGAGAUGAACCUUGCCAAUGCACCAAAACUUGCUGCCUCUUACCCCUUAUUCGUCUAUCUAGAAUUGCUUGUGGCUGAGGAAUUAAUUUCUCUUCAACUUGAUCCAUGACAGGAAGCUGUGUUAUGACUGAUUGAUCACCAACCUUCUUCUUUAAUAAUGAAACAUGGAACACGGGAUGUAAUUUUGAGGACUCGGGCAAUUCCAACCUGUAAGCUACCUUACCAAUCCUUUGUAAUACCUUGAAAGGACCGUAGAACUUGGCAGAGAGUUUUAGAUUCUACCUCCAGGCUAACAUUAGUUGUCUAUAAGGUUGAAGUUUAAGAAAUACCCAAUCACCUUCUGAGAAUUCCCUUUCCUGGUGCCUUGAAUCAUAUAUUCGUUUCAUCCUGGCAUGUGCUUGUUUGAUGUUGUCCCGGGCAACCUGGAUAACUUGGUCACGAUUCUUGAGCUCUUCUUCCACUACUGCUACUCUAGCUGUACCUGGAACAUAAGUCAAAAGAGAAGGAGGAGCCCUUCCAUAUACCACUUCAAAGGGAGUGUUUUUGACUGAUGAGUGCCAACUUGUGUUGUAGCAAAACUCUGCCCAUGUCAACCAUUUAGUUCACUGCUUAGGUUGUGAACUCGUGAAACACCGCAAAUGCAUUUCUAAUGUUCUAUUUACCACUUUAGUCUAGCCAUCCGUUUGAGGGUGGUAACUAGAACUAAAGUUGAAAUAUGUCCCUUGAGGCAUAAUACCUCUUGACAAAAUAAACUGGUAAACACUGAAUCUCUAUCACAAACAAUGGAACGAGGCAUACCAUGCAACUUGAAAAUAUUUUCAAAGAAUAUUCGAGCAACCCCAACGGCUGUAUAUGGAUGAGACAGAGCAAUAAAAUGGGCAUAUUUGGAUAGUCUGUCAACUACCACAAAAAUGGUUGUUUUACCAUUGGAAGGUGGAAGUCCAUCAAUGAAAUCCAUAGAAAUGUCUUCGCAAAUUUACUCGGGAACGGCAAGAGGUUGGAGAAGUCCUGCUGGUGCCAUGUGUUCUGCUUUAUUUCUUUGGCAGAUGUCACAAUUUUUAAUAAAGUCCUUAAUUCCUAUCCUCAUCCCAACCCAGUAAAAAUUUGAACGAAGUCGUUGUACGGUCUUAACAAAUCCUUCGUGUGUGCUGCCAUGAAAUUGCUCAAGUAAUGUAGGAAUCAAAGGUGAAUCACCAACCAAGUAUAUCCGGUCCUUGAAGAACAGGAUGCCAUCUUGAAAUCUCCAAGGUCCGAUGGCUUCUUCGUUUUGAACCUGCUGCACCAAUUUUUAUAAAUUUGUAGUGGAACGAAUUUCUUCCUUGACAACAUAUAGCCAAUCUGGUAGAACUUACGAGAUUGCAUAAAGUUCCUUUGGGUCCUCUUCAUAUUUCUUGGAGAGAACAUUUGCAGCUAUAUUUUCCCUCCCACUUUUGUACUCCACCUUGAAAUCGAAUCCCAUCAACUUGUAUAACCACCUCUGUUGAGCCGUGGUUGUGAUAUUUUGAGUCCACAAGUGCUUCAAGCUUUGAUGAUCAGUUCUUACAAUGAAUCUCCUUCCCAGGAAGUAGGAUCUCCAUUUCUGUACUGAUAAUACUAAAGCCAAAAUUUCUUUCUCAUAAGUAGAUAACAAGAGAUGUUUACCUUGCAAGGCCUGGCUAAAGAAAGCUAUAGCUCGAUCUUGCAUAAGGACGGCUCCAACUCCAGACCUUGAAGCAUCACAUUCCACAAUGAAAGUUUUUGAAAAAUCUGGUAGAGCCAAAACUGGUGCACUGGUCAUGGCUUCCUUGAGUUUGGAGAAUGCCUCCAAAGAUACUUCUUUCCAUUUGAAAGAGUCCUUCUUGAGCAUUCAUGUGAGAGGACCAGCAAUCUUCCCGUAAUUUUGUAUGAAUUUAUGGUAGUACCAUGUCUACCCCAAAAAUCCUCUUAGGGCCUUAGGUGUUUGGGGUUUAGGCCAUGUGAGCAUUGUCUCAAUUUUCUCUCGAUCCAUAGAAACUCCUUCAGUAGUAAUUAGAUGCCCAAGAUAUUUAACUUCCCCUUGCCAAAUUGACACUUCUCUAAUUUUACAUGUAACUCAUUGGCUUGUAAAAUUGAAAAUACAAUAUUUAAAUGAGUAACAUGUUCAUCCCAUGAUUUACUGUAAAUCAGUAUAUCAUCAAAAAAUACUAAAACAAAUUUUCUCAAAUAAUCAUGGAAGACUUCAUUCAUAAGAGCUUGAAAAUUUGAUGGUGCAUUAGUCCAAUCGAAGGGCAUUACCAGGAAUUUGUAGUGUCCUUGAUAAGUUCUGAAUGCUGUUUUUCUACAUCUUCCGAACUCAUUCGAACUUGGUGAUACCCAAAUCACAGGUCUAGCUUGGAAAAUACCUGUGCACCAUGUAGUUCAUCUAAGACCUCAUCAAUUAUAGGAAAUGGAUACUUAUCCUUAAUGGUAAGCUGAUUCAAAGCCUGAUAAUCUACACACAUCCUCCAUGAGCUAUCCUGUUUCUUUACCAAUAUGACUGGGGAAGAAUAGGGGCUAUUGCUGUGUCAGAUUAUACCCAUGGAAAGCAUUUCCUUUAACCAUUCUCUCAAUUUCAGCUUUCUGAAAGUAAGGAUAAGGAUAUGGCUUCCCUAAAACUGGGCCGCACCCAUGCUGUAUUGGUAUUUUGUGGUCACAUGCUCGCUCGGGAGGUAACCCUGUUGGUUGUUCAGCAAGUACUUUACUAAAUUUUUGCAGAAUCGACUUCACUUGUGGAUGGAGUUCUUGCUGGACUUCACCUUUCUUUUCCUUUGGUACGAGUUCAAGUAAAACUCCUUUCGUCGGUGUUAGCUUGUAAAUUUCACGACCAUCAACCACCAUGUCCUCAGUGCUUUUCAAUCCAUGGAGGCAAAUAAUCUUGCCAUACAAUUCAAACUUCAUUACCAAUUUAGAGAAAUCCCAUUCAAUUUUCCCAAGUGUGCAGAGCCAUUGUGCUCCCAAAACAACAUCACAACCUUCCAAUGGCAGUAAAUAAAAAUCAGCUUGAAUAGGAUGGCCUUGCAAAAUCAAUUGAACAUUUUUACACUUCCCUGGGCAAGAUAAUUUUUCUCCAGAAGCCACCAUUACCUCCAAGUUGUCAUAUGAGUUCGGUUGGAGGCCUACCUUCAUUGCUAGCUGUUCAUUGAUGAAGUUAUGAGCGCUUCCUGAAUCGAUCAACACAAUAGCUUCUUUGUAAGUAAGAUAACCUCUAACUCUCAUUGUUUUAGGAUUUUGAAGUCCAGCAAUUGCAUAGAGUGAAAUUUUUGGCAUAUCUGAAACUUGCUCCUCAGAUGGUCCAUCUUCUUCCAUCUCCACAUCAUCAUCAUCGUCCCCUAAUGUAGCUUGGAUAAAGAACAACUUUUUACGCACAUAUCCUGGGCCAAACUUUUCAUUACAUUUGAAACACAAGCCUUUGCGCCUCCUCUCAUUUAAUUCCUCUGUGGUCAUUCUCUUAAUAGGAGCUGGUCCUAAACUUUGGAUGCGCGGUGCUAAAGUUGUGCGAAGAGCAGGUUGCAUGUUCUUGCAUUGGCUAAAAUCUUUAGCUUCGAAUAGCCUUGCUAACCCUAUAGCUGAGGACAGAGACCUUGGCUUGUUGGCUCUAACAUCUAUUCUGACGGGUUCUCGAAGGCCUCCUAUGAAACAACUGACUUGUCGAGAUUGCUCCAUUGGUCCAGCCAUAGCUAAGAAAUUCUCAAAUUUAUCUUGGUAGUCUUGUACUGAACUUGUUUGUUGUAAACGAGUUAGUUCCACAAACAAAUCCAAAAACUGAUUUGGCCCAUACCUUGCAUUUAAUCCAUCACUGAAUUCUUCCCAAGUAGUAGUGCCCAGCUCCUGUUUCAGUAAUUGGUACCAUAGAUGUGCAUCGCCAUCCAAAUGAAAUGAACCUAAUGCAACUCGAUCUUGAACAGGGAUUCCAUGUAGUUGAAAGAAUUCGUCUGCCUUGCUCAACCAAAUGGUUGGGUCUGCUUUUCCUUCAUAGCAAGGAAAAUCAAUCUUUACCAUUUUUGGAACAUAAGAUCCUGACAUUGAACCCUCAGAAGCAUUUGCACGAACACCUGGUGUACUAUGUGGGCUGCUGUUGAGUUCUCCAUCCUGCCUGGAGUUUGCACUCUAACAGUAGCAUUUCCAGCAAGCUCACUAGUAUGAAUGGCAAUUUGUUCCACCCGAUCAGCGAGUUUACUGACUGUUUUAGACAAUUUACGCAGGAUCUCCUCCUGACCUGUCAUCGUCCCUACAACCACCUCCAAUUGUUCCAACCUGUGAUCCAUUCCCAGGCUCUGAUACCACUGUGGUACAGCCUUGCUAGUAGAAGGAGCUUUUACUCUACCUAUUUUGGGAGUAAAGAAAAAACACAGAUUCGUCUAGCUCGUUUGAGGAAACAAGAACCUUCAAUUUUUGAUGUAAAUCAAAAGUGUAGCAAAAAAGGUGCUGUAUCUUUAUUUAAUUCCAGAAUAAAUACCAGAAAAAUUCAACAAAUUCCCACAGAAAUAGGGAUAAAGACCAACGUUCACAAGUUGGUUUUAACUACUCAACAACUAUGCGAGACUUAUUCAAGGAACUAAACAUAAAAAUGGAAAAUUAUUAACUUGAGGAAAUAAAACUCCUAUCAGAAUUACAUUGUUCCAGUCGGUUUUGCAAUAAGCUGAUCCGAGUUAUCUUGCCCCUCGAGCCCUCCAUAAAACUCGUUCAUUAGCAUGUUAAUUCCCACAUUUUGGACCCAAUCACUU